rnacentral:rRNA from 1 species
UACAGAGGUCUCAAGCGUUGUUCGGAUUCAUUGGGCGUAAAGGGUGCGUAGGCGGCGCGGUAAGUCGGGUGUGAAAUCUCGGAGCUUAACUCCGAAACUGCAUUCGAUACUGCCGUGCUUGAGGACUGGAGAGGAGACUGGAAUUUACGGUGUAGCGGUGAAAUGCGUAGAUAUCGUGAGGAAGAUCAGUGGCGAAGGCGGGUCUCUGGACAGUUCCUGACGCUGAGGCACGAAGGUCAGGGGAGCAAACGGG